rnacentral:rRNA from 1 species
UACAGAGGGUGCGAGCGUUAAUCGGAAUUACUGGGCGUAAAGCGCACGUAGGCGGCGUGAUAAGUUGGAUGUGAAAUCCCCGGGCUUAACUUGGGAAUUGCAUUCAAGACUGUCUCGCUGGAGUCUGGGAGAGAGAAGUGGAAUUCCAGGUGUAGCGGUGAAAUGCGUAGAUAUCUGGAGGAACAUCAGUGGCGAAGGCGGCUUCUUGGCCCAAAACUGACGCUGAGGUGCGAAAGCGUGGGGAUCAAACAGG